GACGAACGCUGGCGGCGUGCCUAAUACAUGCAAGUAGAACGCUGAAGGAGGAGCUUGCUUCUAUGGAUGAGUUGCGAACGGGUGAGUAACGCGUAGGUAACCUGCCUGGUAGCGGGGGAUAACUAUUGGAAACGAUAGCUAAUACCGCAUAAUAGCAGUUGUUGCAUGACAACUGUUUGAAAGGUGCAAUUGCACCACUACCAGAUGGACCUGCGUUGUAUUAGCUAGUUGGUGGGGUAACGGCUCACCAAGGCGACGAUACAUAGCCGACCUGAGAGGGUGAUCGGCCACACUGGGACUGAGACACGGCCCAGACUCCUACGGGAGGCAGCAGUAGGGAAUCUUCGGCAAUGGACGGAAGUCUGACCGAGCAACGCCGCGUGAGGGAAGAAGGUUGUCGGAUCGGAAAGCUCUGUUGUAAGGGAAGAACGAGUGUGAGAGUGGAAAGUUCACACUGUGACGGUAUCUGACCAGAAAGGGACGGCUAACUACGUG
rnacentral:rRNA from 1 species